rnacentral:rRNA from 1 species
AUGAUGAAUGAAGUUGGACUGGUAUUCUCUGGACCGAAAACCCAGCCGGAAGCAGAGCUAUGGAUUCAGAACAUGGAGAAUCACUUUGGGAGCAAUUUGGUUGCAAGGAAGAAUGAAGUAUCGUACGCUCUUCAGUACUUUGAAGGAAGUGCUGCAACAUGGUGGCAGAUACAUCAAGCUAUACAGGGAUGGAAUGGAGCAAGGACUUGGGAAGAAUUCAAGAAGACUCUGACAAGAUCCCGUCUUAUCCGGAAGCACCAUGAUAUCCCAAGAAAUAAACCUUGUGCCUGCAAGAUUUGCGGAGAAAUAGGACACACCCAGGAGGAACACAAGGAUGGAUGCCCUCAUUGUGAGGAGAAACACCCAGCUGAGGAAUGCCCAACUAGUCAGGUGACUUGUUUCUUGUGUGAAGGAACCACCCACUACCCAGCUCAGUGUUACAUUUACCCCAUGGUGCAACAAACUAUUCGGAAGCAGGAACAAGGAAUGAAAGAAGCCCUCCGAGAAGUUAUGAAAGACCAUGUGAUUAAGGAAAGUGUUGAAGACCUUGAUGGAGAAAUCCUCAAUAGAUUUUACUCCAAUGAUGUUAUUCAUGUGGAGAAGGAGGACAUUUUUUACAGUAUUGCACCAAGGAAAGAAAAGAGUAUCUAG